rnacentral:rRNA from 1 species
GACGAACGCUGGCGGCGUGCUUAACACAUGCAAGUCGAACGGAAAGGCCCAGCUUGCUGGGUACUCGAGUGGCGAACGGGUGAGUAACACGUGGGUGAUCUGCCCUGCACUCUGGGAUAAGCCUGGGAAACUGGGUCUAAUACCGGAUAUGACCGACUGUCGCAUGGUGGGUGGGGGAAAGCUUUUGCGGUGUGGGAUGGGCCCGCGGCCUAUCAGCUUGUUGGUGGGGUAAUGGCCUACCAAGGCGACGACGGGUAGCCGACCUGAGAGGGGGAUCGGCCACACGGGGACUGAGACACGGCCCAGACUCCUACGGGAGGCAGCAGUGGGGAAUAUUGCACAAUGGGCGCAAGCCGGAUGCAGCGACGCCGCGUGAGGGAUGACGGCCUUCGGGUUGUAAACCUCUUUCGCCAGGGACGAAGCGUGAGUGACGGUACCUGGAGAAGAAGCACCGGCUAACUACGUG